GCAGGAGUAACCAAGCGGUCAACGGUGGCAGACUCAAGAUCUGUUUGCGUAGGCAUUCCCGGGUUCGAAUCCCUGCUCCUGCA
rnacentral:tRNA from 1 species